GCAGUCGCCGCGGUAAUACGAAGGGGGCUAGCGUUGCUCGGAAUUACUGGGCGUAAAGGGAGCGUAGGCGGAUAUCUAAGUCAGGGGUGAAAUCCCAGAGCUCAACUCUGGAACUGCCUUUGAUACUGGGUGUCUUGAGUGUGAUAGAGGUGUGUGGAACUCCGAGUGUAGAGGUGAAAUUCGUAGAUAUUCGGAAGGACACCAGUGGCGAAGGCGACAUACUGGAUCAUUACUGACGCUGAGGCUCGAAAGCGUGGGGAGCAAACAGGAUUAGAUACCCCCGUAGUCCCUGUCUCUUAUAC
rnacentral:rRNA from 1 species